rnacentral:rRNA from 1 species
AGAGUUUGAUCCUGGCUCAGGAUGAACGCUAGCGACAGGCUUAACACAUGCAAGUCGAGGGGCAGCACAGGUAGCAAUACCGGGUGGCGACCGGCGCACGGGUGAGUAACGCGUAUGCAACUUGCCUAUCAGAGGGGGAUAACCCGGCGAAAGUCGGACUAAUACCGCAUGAAGCAGGGGCCCCGCAUGGGGAUAUUUGCUAAAGAUUCAUCGCUGAUAGAUAGGCAUGCGUUCCAUUAGGCAGUUGGCGGGGUAACGGCCCACCAAACCGACGAUGGAUAGGGGUUCUGAGAGGAAGGUCCCCCACAUUGGUACUGAGACACGGACCAAACUCCUACGGGAGGCAGCAGUGAGGAAUAUUGGUCAAUGGCCGAGAGGCUGAACCAGCCAAGUCGCGUGAAGGAAGAAGGAUCUAUGGUUUGUAAACUUCUUUUAUAGGGGAAUAAAGUGGAGGACGUGUCCUUUUUUGUAUGUACCCUAUGAAUAAGCAUCGGCUAACUCCGUGCCAGCAGCCGCGGUAAUACGGAGGAUGCGAGCGUUAUCCGGAUUUAUUGGGUUUAAAGGGUGCGUAGGUGGUGAUUUAAGUCAGCGGUGAAAGUUUGUGGCUCAACCAUAAAAUUGCCGUUGAAACUGGGUUACUUGAGUGUGUUUGAGGUAGGCGGAAUGCGUGGUGUAGCGGUGAAAUGCAUAGAUAUCACGCAGAACUCCGAUUGCGAAGGCAGCUUACUAAACCAUAACUGACACUGAAGCACGAAAGCGUGGGGAUCAAACAGGAUUAGAUACCCUGGUAGUCCACGCAGUAAACGAUGAUUACUAGGAGUUUGCGAUACAAUGUAAGCUCUACAGCGAAAGCGUUAAGUAAUCCACCUGGGGAGUACGCCGGCAACGGUGAAACUCAAAGGAAUUGACGGGGGCC